UGGGGAAUCUUUGGACAAUGGGGGCAACCCUGAUCCAGCCAUGCCGCGUGAGUGAUGAAGGCCUUAGGGUCGUAAAGCUCUUUCGCCUGUGAAGAUAAUGACGGUAGCCGGAGAAGAAGCCCCGGCUAACUCCGUGCCAGCAGCCGCGGUAAUACGGAGGGGGUUAGCGUUGUUCGGAAUUACUGGGCGUAAAGCGCACGUAGGCGGACCAGAAAGUUGGGGGUGAAAUCCCGGGGGCUCAACCCCGGAACUGCCUCCAAAACUAUUGGUCUAGAGUUCGAGAGAGGUGAGUGGAAUUCCAAGUGUAGAGGUGAAAUUCGUAGAUAUUUGGAGGAACACCAGUGGCGAAGGCGGCUCACUGGCUCGAUACUGACGCUGAGGUGCGAAAGUGUGGGGAGCAAACAGGAUUAGAUACCCUGGUAGUCCACACCGUAAAACGAUGAAUGCCAGUCGUCGGGUAGCAUGCUAUUCGGUGACACACCUAACGGAUUAAGCAUUCC
rnacentral:rRNA from 1 species